GAUGAACGCUGGCGGCGUGCCUAAUACAUGCAAGUCGAGCGAACGAACGAGAAGCUUGCUUUUCUGAUGUUAGCGGCGGACGGGUGAGUAACACGUGGAUAACCUACCUAUAAGACUGGGAUAACUUCGGGAAACCGGAGCUAAUACCGGAUAAUAUUUUGAGCCGCAUGGUUCAAAAGUGAAAGACGGUCUUGCUGUCACUUAUAGAUGGAUCCGCGCUGCAUUAGCUAGUUGGUAAGGUAACGGCUUACCAAGGCAACGAUGCAUAGCCGACCUGAGAGGGUGAUCGGCUACACUGGAACUGAGACACGGUCCAGACUCCUACGGGAGGCAGCAGUAGGGAAUCUUCCGCAAUGGGCGAAAGCCUGACGGAGCAACGCCGCGUGAGUGAUGAAGGUCUUCGGAUCGUAAAACUCUGUUAUUAGGGAAGAACAUAUGUGUAAGUAACUGUGCACAUCUUGACGGUACCUAAUCAGAAGGCCACGGCUAACUACGUG
rnacentral:rRNA from 1 species